rnacentral:rRNA from 1 species
CCUACGGGGUGCAGCAGUCGAGAAUCAUUCACAAUGGGGGAAACCCUGAUGGUGCGACGCCGCGUGGGGGAAUGAAGGUCUUCGGAUUGUAAACCCCUGUCAUGUGGGAGCAAAUUAAAAAGAUAGUACCACACGAGGAAGAGACGGCUAACUCUGUGCCAGCAGCCGCGGUAAUACAGAGGUCUCAAGCGUUGUUCGGAAUCACUGGGCGUAAAGCGUGCGUAGGCUGUUUCGUAAGUCGUGUGUGAAAGGCGCGGGCUCAACCCGCGGACGGCACAUGAUACUGCGAGACUAGAGUAAUGGAGGGGGAACCGGAAUUCUCGGUGUAGCAGUGAAAUGCGUAGAUAUCGAGAGGAACACUCGUGGCGAAGGCGGGUUCCUGGACAUUAACUGACGCUGAGGCACGAAGGCCAGGGGAGCGAAAGGGAUUAGAUACCCCUGUAGUC